rnacentral:rRNA from 1 species
CGAUUUCCGAAUGGGGAAACCCAGUGUGUUUCGACACACUAUCAUUAACUGAAUCCAUAGGUUAAUGAGGCGAACCGGGGGAACUGAAACAUCUAAGUACCCCGAGGAAAAGAAAUCAACCGAGAUUCCCCCAGUAGCGGCGAGCGAACGGGGAGCAGCCCAGAGCCUGAAUCAGUGUGUGUGUUAGUGGAAGCGUCUGGAAAGGCGCGCGAUACAGGGUGACAGCCCCGUACACAAAAAUGCACAUGCUGUGAGCUCGAUGAGUAGGGCGGGACACGUGGUAUCCUGUCUGAAUAUGGGGGGACCAUCCUCCAAGGCUAAAUACUCCUGACUGACCGAUAGUGAACCAGUACCGUGAGGGAAAGGCGAAAAGAACCCCGGCGAGGGGAGUGAAAAAGAACCUGAAACCGUGUACGUACAAGCAGUGGGAGCACGCUUAGGCGUGUGACUGCGUACCUUUUGUAUAAUGGGUCAGCGACUUAUAUUCUGUAGCAAGGUUAACCGAAUAGGGGAGCCGAAGGGAAACCGAGUCUUAACUGGGCGUUAAGUUGCAGGGUAUAGACCCGAAACCCGGUGAUCUAGCCAUGGGCAGGUUGAAGGUUGGGUAACACUAACUGGAGGACCGAACCGACUAAUGUUGAAAAAUUAGCGGAUGACUUGUGGCUGGGGGUGAAAGGCCAAUCAAACCGGGAGAUAGCUGGUUCUCCCCGAAAGCU